rnacentral:sRNA from 1 species
AACGUAACCAUAACCCAACUAAAAGAAGCACAACUCCAAAUCCAUUUCAUCUCCACACAGAGGAAAGAGGUGCCGAGAAAGAGAAGAAAUUGAUCAUGGAACUUCUACACAAAGAGUUGGAGGAGGAAAUAG